AAGUCGCCUAAUGUUCAAAACUCGUCAUCAGGGACGUUACUUCUCAGGCUACUGAGAACUAAUUCUUUCUUUUUUGUUUUAGGACCUGUGACCUUUUAUUUAUACACCACGAAAUCAACAAGAACGUCGAGUAGAAGAAAUACUUAACAAUAGAAGAGACUGAGAAUCUAAUAGCUCUACAGGUCUAGUCAUGUCUUGUUUGUUUUACUUGUCUUCUACUUUUGUAUCCCGAAGUCGAGGUAUCGUGUAAAUCCUUUUACAUCUGAUGGUAGAAACAUGUAUUUAUAUGUUACUUUGUACUCAAUAAUUGUAUGUAAUGAUAUUUCUUGUCGAUAUUAGAUAACUAGAAGUUAGUUCCUAUGUAUCUCAUAGAGGGAACUGGCGCGGAUACCUCCAUUUUCCGCUCAAGUCGGUGUCAAGUACUUUUUGAAUCAAAAAUUAUCGAACGAAUCCGUAAGAAUUGACAUGCAUGUUUCAUUCUUCUUUGAAUUUCCUCGCACUGUGUCGAGUACGAUCGAACGUACCCAUGUUUCUCUUCGGAGGAGCUUGCGACGAGUCGGAAGCACGAUAGAUUGGUCAGAUGCGAAUAGUCACGAGUGGGUCAACGUGUCUCGGCGUACUGAAGCGUGGCGGGUCUUGGACGAUGGUAUUUAUACUAUUUCAUGCGCGAGGAGGAGUGUCGCAUCCAAGGAAGAAGAUAGAGACGAGGCUCGUAUCCUUAUCGCGAGGGAGCUGAUGAGGGAGCCUCAUGGAUGGCUGACGUGCGAGCCAAUAUCCCUCCUUCCACAAUCAGUGUCUACCACGGAUAGACGGAUCUCGAACAGUCGAUAGCGCCGUUAAUUAACCAUUCCCGUCAAAACUAAUUAAUUCUGUCGCGGCUGAUACCGUGUCUAACGCCAGAUGGACCCGAUUUACUACAAAACUGAACACUGCGUAGUCUCGUGGCGGCGUUUGUUCGUGCGACAAACGUGAUCAAACAGUUUUUGACAACGACUACCGUUGAUCCUUACUGAUUCUUUGAGAUUAUUUGAAGUUAUGUUAAUCUACACCCUACAAGCAAAGCUAGAUAUAAUAAGUAUCUACGAAUCGGAACUGUUAGAAUGUAACAGAAAAUAUUCAGAAGGUUUGGUACAUCAGGAAAUGGAUUCUCUUUUCUAUGGAAAAACAAGUAUUAAUGCCUGCUUUCCGGCUAUGAGGCAAGUGCAUUAAUGGUUCAGUCAAGAUUCCCCGAAAAGGUUACUUCAUGUAACACCACGCGAUAUCAACGUUCGACGAGUGAACGAGGCCACGUGACGUAAAUUCUAGAAGCGCAUUAACGGUGCAACGACCGUGUGAUAAAAAUGCGUCUAUGUAGUCAAUCGUCUUAUCGUCUGAGAUCGUGACAUCUGUAAUUCCCACGCGCUACUGCGUUGCAAGUAACCGGGGGAUCACGACUUUUGCUCACUUUCCGAGACUCGUCUUCGAUGAAUGUCACGCGUCGUACGUUCAACAUUUUUCUUGUACGCGGAUAGAUACUGCCGUUCAUAGCAGUAGCGAGGAUCUUUCUCCUCUCGUUUAGAAAGAAUACUGUGAGUUCAUUUUUCGGAAGAAUAGGUGAAUGCAUACCCAUUUUGUUUCCGUACCUGUUGAGUUAUACAUAGAAUACGCGCAGACGGGAAAUAUCAUAUGAAAUGUGAUGCACAGAUAUAUAAAUAUUGCAGGCUUCAUGGAACUUCGUCGUUUUUAAUUUUUUCUGAACAGUUCAAGCGUGGGAACAAUAAAAUUUGUAAUGUCUUG